AUGCGUCUUACAUCAGUCUUCGGCAGCAUGAUCUAGCUUGCUAAUUGAUGGCGAGUGGCGAACGGGUGAGUAAUACAUCGGAACGUGCCCUGUAGUGGGGGAUAACUAGUCGAAAGAUUAGCUAAUACCGCAUACGACCUGAGGGUGAAAGUGGGGGACCGCAAGGCCUCAUGCUAUAGGAGCGGCCGAUGUCUGAUUAGCUAGUUGUGAGGUAAAGGCUCACCAAGGGCGACAUCAGUACUGGUCUGAAGGACGAUCAGCACACUGGGACUGAGACACGGCCCAGACUCCUACGGGAGGCAGCAGUGGGGAAUUUUGGACAAUGGGCGAAAGCCUGAUCCAGCAAUGCCGCGUGUGUGAAGAAGCCUUCGGGUUGUAAAGCACUUUUUGUCCGGAAAGAAAUGGCUCUGGUUAAUACCUGGGGUCGAUGACGGUACCGGAAGAAUAAGACCGGCUAACUACGGUGCAGCAGCCGGGUAUAC
rnacentral:rRNA from 1 species